CAGAUAGGGAAUCAACCUCCAAGGAAUGAAGGGAAUUUCCAAGGUCACACGGGUAGUGCUAGAGUUAGGAUGGCACAUCGCGACACCAGUCUUACAUACGAUGUCCCAAGGAAACAGAUCUUCUGACUCUUGGGACCUCCACCUGCUCACUGUACUUCUGCUGGUCAUUAUCCCCAAGCAAUACCUGAUUCUACUGUGAGUUAUGUUGCUUGUCAAAGCAAGGAGGAAAUUGAGAGGAGGAUAUAAGACUGAUGAGAUUUCUGGAUUGUGAGGAGUAAUGUAUGAAGUUUCAUACUGCUGCUCCUACACCCCUUCAAAGAGAAAGUCAGAAGUUGCAACUGGGUGGGAAACUGCUGGAACGAUGGAUUCCAAGUGUGGAGCAAUUGAUUCCAACUGUGGCGGUGAUGAGAUGUGAGGGCUGGGAGAGAGAUGUUGAGAAUUGCUACCAGGUGUUUGACAGGAGUGUACAGAUGCAAUCAAUUACCGAAUGCUUACCAUGUGCCAUUCACUCUGCUGGGCACCGAACAUGAACGUGCAAAGGUGGGUGAAAUAAG